CCCUGGGUGUCUCGGAGCACUCCGGCUCUCAGACCCUCCUCUAGCCAGGUGCAGGCCGGCGGGAGAGGAGGACGCAGCUCUUCUUCCGGCGCCCCACCAUGGGCAAUACCUCCAAUGACUCCCGGCCAGAGAACUGCGAUACUCGACAGUGGCUCCCCUCCGGCGAAAGCCCAGCCAUCAGCUCCGUGAUGUUCUCGGCCGGGGUGCUGGGGAACCUCAUCGCGCUGGCGCUGCUGGUGCGCCGCUGGCUGGGGGACUCGGGGCGCAGCGCCGUCCGCGGGAACUCCAUCUCGCUGUUCCACGUGCUGGUGACAGAGUUGGUGUUCACCGAUCUGCUCGGGACCUGCCUCAUCAGCCCUGUGGUGCUGGCUUCGUAUGCGCGGAACCAGACCCUGGUGGCCCUGGAGCCCCAGAGGCGCGUGUGCACCUACUUUGCCUUCUCCAUGACCUUCUUCAGCCUGGCCACCAUGCUCAUGCUGUUCGCCAUGGCCCUGGAGCGCUACCUGGCCCUCGGACACCCCUACUUCUACCAGCGCUGGGUCACAUGCCGGGGUGGCCUGGCUGUGCUGCCCGCCAUCUACACAGUCUCCCUGCUCUUCUGCUCCCUGCCGCUGCUGGACCACCGGCCGUACACCCAGUACUGCCCUGGGACCUGGUGCUUCAUCGCGCAUGAGCAGACCACGUACCUGCGGCUUUAUGCCACCUUGCUGCUCCUACUCAUCAUCGCGGUGCUCGCCUGCAACUUCAGUGUCUUCCUCAACCUCAUCCACAUGCAUCGCCGCGGCAGGAGGAGCCGCUCCGGGCCCUCCCUGGGCAGCAGCCGGGGCGGCCCUGGCAGCCACAGGAAAGGGGAAAGGGUAUCCAUGGCGGAGGAGACGGACCAUCUCAUCCUCCUGGCUAUCAUGACCAUCACCUUCGCUGUCUGCUCCUUGCCUUUCACGAUUUUUGCAUAUAUGAAUGAAACCUCUUCCCGGAAAGAAAAGUGGGACCUCCAAGCUCUUAGAUUUUUAUCAAUUAAUUCAAUAAUUGACCCUUGGGUCUUUGCCAUCCUGAGGCCUCCUGUUCUGAGACUAAUGCGUUCAGUCCUCUGUUGUCGGGUUUCAUUAAGAACACAAGAUGCAACACAAACUUCCUGUUCUACACAGUCAAAUGCCAGUAAAUAGGCUGACCUUUGAGGAUGGUAGUUAAGAAGUGCUUAGUUAGCCAGCAUCUGGAAGAUCAUUUUGAAAUGGUUCCUUGGAGAAAUGGAAAAAAGUUAGUUUACAAAUACAAUGAAGCUACCCUAAUAAAACAGAGUAAACAAACAUUUCAGCAGUGGUUUGGGCUACAGACAUGCUGACAAGGCACUUCGUGGAAGCCCCUAAAAAUUUUUAAAUAUUUUUAAAAAUCACAUCACAUCGGACGUACCUGUUUAAGUUUACUGACUCAUUUUCAAGUAAAAUAAAAAACACAGAAUUUAGCCUGGUAUAUCAGAGAACUGAAUUGUGAUGAAAAAAGACCUAGAUUUU